AUUGAACGCUGGCGGAAUGCUUUACACAUGCAAGUCGAACGGCAGCACGGGGCAACCUGGUGGCGAGUGGCGAACGGGUGAGUAAUACAUCGGAACGUGCCCAAUCGUGGGGGAUAACGUAGCGAAAGUUACGCUAAUACCGCAUACGAUCUACGGAUGAAAGCGGGGGAUCGCAAGACCUCGCGCGAAUGGAGCGGCCGAUGUCAGAUUAGGUAGUUGGUGGGGUAAAGGCUCACCAAGCCGACGAUCUGUAGCUGGUCUGAGAGGACGACCAGCCACACUGGGACUGAGACACGGCCCAGACUCCUACGGGAGGCAGCAGUGGGGAAUUUUGGACAAUGGGCGCAAGCCUGAUCCAGCCAUUCCGCGUGCAGGAUGAAGGCCUUCGGUGUAAACUGCUUUGUACGGAACGAAACGGUUACGUCUCUAAUACAGGGGCGUAAUGACGGUACCGUAAGAAUAAGCACCGGCUAACUACGUGCCAGC
rnacentral:rRNA from 1 species